rnacentral:lncRNA from 1 species
AUGAUGGUAUUGCCAAAAUCAGGCAUGCAUUGAUUUGUGCAAAGAUUUGCAGUAAAUGGGCUUGAGUAGAGGGCCCAGGCUCCAACCCUCAUUUAACACUUCAAGUAUGUGUAAAUCGUAGUUUAUAUUCACACAGAUACAGUAUUCUGAGCACCUUUAUUUCUGCAUUCUCAUUCUUACUGAGACCUCUGCGAGAAGGUGGUGCUUCUGGAGACUCAGGGAUGGGAUCAGUAAAUCAGAGCAGAUAGGGUUAAAAGGAUAGGAAGAGGCCUCGGACCCAGGGCCCCACCAAAAUGUCUGCCUCUGUUCACUGUACAUGUUUCCUGUAGUUGCUCCAGUAAAGUCCUGUAAGUGGGUGAAAGGGUCAGGCCCCCUCUGGAAGCUCCAGGGACACAUCUCUGCUUGCCUUGGCUCCUGCUGCGGUUGGCUUUCCUUGACUUGUGGUGGCCUCACGGCAUCCUCUGCCUCUGUGGUUAUGUAGUGCCUUCCUUUCUGUUCUGUGUUUUCUCUAUAGUCUCUCUUAAAUCCAUUUCUGCCUUUCUACUUCAUUAGAUUUACGGUCCUGUGGGUUAGGUGGGGAUGCUCUUAUCCAUUGCUCCUCAAAGAUACCUGUGAAGACGUUUUUCCAAAUAAGGCUACCAGAGAUGGAUGGGCUCAUAGACAUAUUUUUUCAGCAACUUCCCUCCCCCAAUCCUGAUACAUUGAUUAUAUGCAUUUAAUGAUAUGUCUUCCUUUUGUACUGAGAAAGUAAGUUUCUGUCUGAAAAAUGGGCAAAUGGGUUGGGAAUUUUGAGCUAGAAGGUAGAGGGAUAUUAAAGAAUUUCUGGCUGGUGCUAAGUGGGUGUUAGAAGCUGCAGACAGAGUGAACAGGUUGGUAAGAAGUGAAAGAGGAUCUUUCCAAAAGGCCAUCACCAAGAAAGCCUCUGUGGAGAACCAGAAGAAUUCACGCACAAGUUCCACUAAAUUGUUGUCAGAUUAAACAACUAAAGUAAAUGAAGGUAUUGUUCAGUUUUGUAUGAUUGACAAGGUUAAAAGCUGACUAUUUUAUUUCUUGUGUAAUUAGACUAAAAGGAGCUGAGACGAAAGGAUGGACUAUCUAGAGACUGCCAUACCCGGGGAUCCAUCCCAUAAUCAGCCUCCAAACGCUGACACCAUUGCAUACAACCAGCAAGAUUUUGCUGAAAGGACCCUGAUAUAGCUGUCUCUUGUGAGGCAAACACAGAAGUGGAUGCUCACAGUCAGCUAUUGGAUGGAACACAGGGUCCCCAAUGGAGGAGCUAGAGAAAGUACCCAAGGAGCUGAAGGGGUCUGCAACCCUAUAGGUGGAACAACAAUAUGAACUAACCAGUGCUCCCCGAGCUCGUGUCUCUAGCUGCAUAUGUAGCAGAAGAUGGCCUAGUCGGCCAUCAUUGGGAAGAGAGGCCCCUUGGUCUUGCAAUCUUUAUAUGCCUCAGUACAGGGGAACACCAGGGCCAAGAAGUGGGAGUGGGUGGGUAGGGGAGUGGUGGGGGGAGGGUCUGGGGGACUUUUGGGAUAGCAUUUGAAAUGUAAAUGAAGAAAAUACCUAAUUAAAAAAAGAAAUUAAAAAAAAGAAAAUAGAGCACACACUAGGAGGUUGACAGCACAACUGAAAGCUCUAGAGCAAAAAGAACCAAAUACACCCAAAAGGAGUAGGUGUCCAGAAAUAAUCAAACUCAAGGCUGAAAUCAACCAAGUAGAAACAAAAGGAACUAUAUAACGAAUCAGCAAAACCAGGAGCUGGUUCUUUAAAAGGUGGAGUGGGAAAGCAAGAGACAUUUGUAACUGAUUUCAGUCAGGAAGAUCAGUUUCUUACAUUAGAUUACAUUAGAAUGCCUUAUUUGGGUCCUGUGUGUCAAGAGGACCCAUAUAUGUAAAUUCUGGGGCAGAGACUUGACUCUUGUAUGCAGUUAGGUUCCCAGUGCAGGCGUGCUCAGACAACAUUUGUGUAAAUGACGUAACUCUGAUGACACCCACACCAGAUAGCCCCAAGCUGUAUACUGUUUCUUUCCUGGAGACUCUUGGAUGUUAGCACAGUCUGUUCAUUGCUGGGCCACUGCUUGCUCCUUUUCUUUGCAUGCAACUUGUUUUUCCUUUCUGGAAACUAGGGCUUUUCCUUUACUCUGUAGACUGGAAAUUUCUCCAGAAUACAUCAAGGUGUGUGCUUAUCUCAUUAGCCCUAACCAGAGCCUUUCCUCCCUCCUCCUCCCCCUCUCCCUUUCCCUCCCCCUCCCUCUUUCUGUUCCUUCUUCCCUUCCUCUCCACCCUCUUCCCCCUCCUAUUUUUGCUUUUGGUCUGGACUGUGUGAUUUCUAUUCAUUGCUUUGAAAACAACCAAUUUGUCCUUUGGAGAGUCUGUUACACAUUUUAUUUUAUUUUUCCAUGAGAAUUUAAAAUUUACCAAUGAUGCCUAAAGAAUUUGCCAGUCUAUUAUUUUGAUUUCUAUAUCUAGAAUUCAGUAACAUAUACAUAUAAAGCAUCGUUACUUCUGUAAACAUGGUCUAUAUUAGAAAUGUGAGGCUGUUUAUUUUGGGGGAAAAUAUUAGUGCAAUAACAACUUUAAGAGAGGGAUCCUCCCUCAGCCACCCAAAAAAGGUGGGUAUGGUAACACACACCUUUAAUUCUAGCACUGGAGAAACAAGGCCAGGUGGAUCUUCAAAUUCUAAGCUAGCCUAGCCUACAAAGCAAGUUCCAAAGUUCCAGGACAGCCAGGGCUAUACAGAGUAACUCCAUCUUGAAAAAAAAAAAAAAAAACCAAGCAAAAAAUUUAAAAAGGUCAAAGGGAAAGGUCUUUUGGUCACUACCACAUACAUUGCAAACAUAUUUGCUAAAUUAAUAUCCAUUCAAGAGAAGUUCUUGGUCAUCAGGAAAUGAAUAUUUUUUUAAGAGCCAGCAUCAUAACAAUUUUCAGCUAACAUUGAGGACUGAUAUUGAAUUCCAUGAGCAAGAUUCCCUUAAAAAUGUGUGCCCACCACUCUGGAAUUUUAGAUAAAAAGAUAUUAUGGUAAACAAAAUCUUACAAGUACUGAUAUUUCAGUGGCUUGAUACGAUAGAAAUGUAUCUCUCCCUCAGUGAUCAGUCCGAGCUGCCGCAUAGCUUGCUUGUGUGUGGUGGUUUGGGCACGCAGGUUGCUUUCCACACAUGGUUCCCCUGUUUCCCACCGUCUUGGAUUCUUCUGUUUCUAGUUGAUGCUGCUGCAAGCUAGGGUGGAGGAGAUUCAGUUUCCUUUCGGGUCACCUUGGCCUCUCCGUGACACACUUGCUUUCUGUUUAUUGUUCCACAUUCCAUUGCCUAGGACUAGACAUGUGACCUUACCUGUGUGCAAGGUGUGUGGGUUGGGAGGCAAUGGGAAAUAGUAUCUGGCUGGGCAGCCUCAGGUAAGGAGAUAGACAUUCUUCUCUGUGCUUGGCAGGGGUGGAGUUUGGGAGCACUUUCAUAGAGGGCACAGUAGCAAUUUAUAUUGAAUUUGAGAAUGUAUAUGUCUUAAAAUUCUCCUUUCAUCAUUUUUUCCCUAAAAGUUCCUUGUAGAAUAUGUGCAUAUUAUAUUUUAAGAUAUACUUAGCAAUUCUAAAGUAAUAAAAGAUUGGAAGCAUUCCAAGUGUCCAUUGAAAGGGCCCGGAUAAAUACAACAUUGUGUAUUCAAUUCCGUGGGGGCACUGUAACCACGAGGAUGAACAAGGCAGGGAUAUAUUUUUGCUGAUGAUAGAGAGAAAAGUGAGGCACAAAUUCUCUGCAUUGUUACCACUUAUCUGAAAGAAAAAUAUAUAUAUAUAUAUAUAUAUAUAUAUAUAUAUAUAUAUAUAUUUACAUGCCUAUACAUUCAUUGAAUUUUUGUAAAAAGAUCACAAAGAGUGGGGAAGAAUCACAAAAAGCUGGUGACAGUGUCCACUUGUGACUUUGUCUGAGGUACUGGAGGAGAGAAUCACGGAGAGACAUGCACUGUGUAUACUUUUGUGUCUCCAUAGUGUGCCUGCUUAUAAACAUCAAUUGUAGGAGUGGUAACUGACAUGGGAAGAUGGCUGUCAUACACUGUUGCUUGAGAAGCAACAAUGUAUCCAGAUGUAUGGACAGCAGGGUCUCAAAUAAAUGAUGCAUACAAAAAUGUAAUAGUUUAUUUGUGUUUUUCUGCUUGUCUGUGUUUUUUAAUCUUUUCAUAAUGUACGUGUCACCUGUAAGAACGUUUUUAAAAUUACAAAGGUAAGAGAAACUUUAAAAAAGGGAAUCUUUCAGCCCUGCUGCAUGGUCUCCCUCGGCUGCGCCCAGUGAACUGGCAAAUGCCUCCUUUACUGUCUUGUGUGUGCCGUUCUUCCUCCACACGAACCGUGCUCAGCUUCACUACCAUGUGCACACCCAGGGCACGUGUGCUGUGUACUCCUGCCAUUUUGGAUCACACCCUUCAUCUAGGCAUUUCCCUCUAUGCCACGAACAGUGCAUUUUAUGCAAGUACCGAAUUGGCACUUAAGGCAGGGACCACAACGGGCAAAUGUCUGUGAUGCAGCCAAGUUCAAUACCAAACCCCAGAGUUAACACUGAUUGGUUAGCAAUGCCUGUGGUUUUUAAGGUGCAGUAAAAAACACAUGUACUGAAUAUAUCCCUUCCCUCUCUUCUUUCUUCCUCUUUUAUUGGUUUCAUUUUUCAGGAGAACCCUGAGAUAUAUCCUAAAGGAGAUAAUUUGGAUGCCAUCCUUGUCAAAGG